rnacentral:rRNA from 1 species
UACGUAGGGUGCAAGCGUUGUCCGGAAUUAUUGGGCGUAAAGAGCUUGUAGGCGGUUUGUCGCGUCUGCUGUGAAAUUUCGGGGCUCAACCCCGAACUUGCAGUGGGUACGGGCAGACUAGAGUGUGGUAGGGGAGACUGGAAUUCCUGGUGUAGCGGUGAAAUGCGCAGAUAUCAGGAGGAACACCGAUGGCGAAGGCAGGUCCCUGGGCCGCAACUGACGCUGAGGAGCGAAAGCAUGGGGAGCGAACAGG